AGUGAACGCUGGCGGUAGGCCUAACACAUGCAAGUCGAACGGCAGCACAUUAAGAGCUUGCUCUUACGGGUGGCGAGUGGCGGACGGGUGAGGAAUACAUCGGCAUCUACUUUUUCGUGGGGGAUAACGUCGGGAAACUUACGCUAAUACCGCAUACGACCUACGGGUGUAAGCAGUGAAUCUUCGGACCUUGCGCGAUUGUAUGAGCCGAUGUCGGAUUAGCUAGUUGGCGGGGUAAAGGCCCACAAAGGCGACGGUCAGUAGCUGGUCUGGGAGGAUGAGCAGGCAGACUGGAGAGGAGAGACGGUCCAGACGCCAACGGGAGGCAGCAGUGGGGAAUAUGGGACAAUGGGGGGGAGAAUGAUGGAGACAGACGGCGAGGGUGAAGAAGGCAUUCGGGGUGUAAAGACAUUGUGUUGGGAAAGAAAAGCAGCAGGUGAAUACCCCGAGGUACUGACGGUACCCAAAGAAGAAGCAACGGCUAAAUUCGUG
rnacentral:rRNA from 1 species